GGUUUUCUUCGGGAAUAAACUUGUUCACCUACCAGCCGGGCUAUUCGACGCGACAACCGAAUUGAGAAGCCUGGAUUUGGCCUAUAAUCAACUUGUUCACCUACCUGACGGGCUGUUCAAAGCCACAACCAAAUUACAAAAACUGUUUUUGCAUUAUAAUAAUCUCCGCUAUCUUCCCAGUGGAGUGCCUCAAGACACACCUCACUUAAUUGAACUUUGGCUUUUGGAUGGAAUUUCAUUCAACCUUCGCUUGUGCGCUCUCAAGAUCCCUAAGGACUUUUCACAAGGCACCAUCU